rnacentral:antisense_RNA from 2 species
CUUGAUGGUAGCUGUACGCAGGGCGCCUUCGGGUGCGCCGGUCGCGUCUCCCCGGUCUACUAACCUGCGUUCAGCUGCCACCCUC